rnacentral:rRNA from 1 species
GAUGAACGCUGGCGGCGUGCCUAAUACAUGCAAGUCGAGCGAACAGACGAGGAGCUUGCUCCUCUGACGUUAGCGGCGGACGGGUGAGUAACACGUGGAUAACCUACCUAUAAGACUGGGAUAACUUCGGGAAACCGGAGCUAAUACCGGAUAAUAUAUUGAACCGCAUGGUUCAAUAGUGAAAGACGGUUUUGCUGUCACUUAUAGAUGGAUCCGCGCCGCAUUAGCUAGUUGGUAAGGUAACGGCUUACCAAGGCAACGAUGCGUAGCCGACCUGAGAGGGGGGUCCGCCACAAGGGAAGGGGAACACGGGCCAGACGCCCGAGGGAGGGAGCAAGGGGGAAUUCUUGCGAAGGGGGCAAAGCCCGAACGAAGAAGCGCGGGGGGAGGAAGAAAGUUUUUGGGAUCGAAACACUUUUUUAUGGGAAAAAAAAAAAUGUGUAAAAAACAAUGCGCUUCUGAAGGUAACCAAAAAAGAAACCCCCGGCAAACUAGGU